rnacentral:lncRNA from 12 species
UGGUGUGAGGGGCAUCCUCCAGGUGGGGGGCUUCAGCUUCCCUCCAGGUGGGAGGGCUUCCCUCUAGGUGGGCUUCCCUCCAGGGGGGGCUUCCCUCCAGGGAGGAGGCUUUCCUCCAGGUGGGGGGCUUCCCUCCAGGUGGGAGGGCUUCCCUCCAGGGGGAGGCUUCCCUACAGUGGGGAGCUUCCCUCCAGGUGGGGGGCUUCCCUCCAGGGGGGAGGCUUUCCUCCAGGUGGGAGGGCUUCCCUCCAGGGGGUGCUUCCCUCCAGUGGGGGGCUUCCCUCCAGGGGAGGGGCUUCCCUCCGGGGGGGCUUACCGGAAUGUCCGUCCGUGCGCCGGGGCAGGGGACCCCCACCCACGUGUGCCUUCACCCACCGCGCCCCCGCUGCUCGUCGGGCCCGAAGGACUCCCAGCAGGAGGCACACACAGAAAACCCCACGGCAAAGCCACCGCCGGCGCCGCCUCCCGCGUCCCCUCACCCGGCUCCGUCCACCGUCUCGGCCUCGCCGCUGUGGGCGGCGUCGGGACUCACCCUGGGGCGAACGCGCGGGGCUGGCGGGCGGGCGCCGGGGCCGCUGCUACUGCUCGCUCGGGUCUCCCGGCUCCGAGUCCGCUCGGACGCCGCCGCCGCGAUCGCGAGCCGGGCCGCGCGGUCACGUGGUCGGGGCGAGGCGGCGCGCGGGCUCCUGGGAGUUGUGGUCCGGGCGUGUGGCCUCCCUCCCGGCGGGGCGCGCGCACCUGCUCCCCACCAGCCGGCGCCCGCUGGAGGCCCCGGGCCACCUGCUGCCCGCCGUUUGGCCCUUUAGCUCGUUUCGCAUUCGCCUCGUCUCUGCAGUUAUCAUUAACACGUUCAUUGCUCUUCUCAUAAACCCAGUGACGCCUAACAUGUUGAGUGAAAAAUUGUCAAGUCCAUUUUACGGACAAAAUAGCAAUAAAUUAGGAGUAAAUUACAUUAUGCCCCCGGGGCUUUGGGCCAGUAGCCAUUCUUUUCCUAUCUUUUCCAAUCUGAUAAGCCAAAAGCAACACACCGUUUUAAUUUUAACUUGUAUUUCUUUGGUUUCUAGGGUGGUAAACUUUUUUCUUACUGGUAUCUCUGUGUAUUGUCUGUCCAUUUCAUCUCUCCGGUUUUGGUGGCUGGCCUGGGAGACUUUUCUGGGGGGAUGAGUGACCUUUUUUUUUUUUUUUUUUUAAAUCUCUCUCUUUUUUUUUUAAAGAUUUUAUUUAUUUAUUUAUUUAUUUGAGAGAGAAACAGCAUGAGCAGGGGGAGAGGAGAGAAAGAAGCAGACUCCGCACUGAGCAGGGAGCACAUUAUGGGACUAGGUCCCAGGGCCCCAGGAUCAUGGCCUGAGCAGAAGGCAGACACUUAAGCUGCUGAGCCAUCCAGGCACCCCCCAGUGAGUGACCUUUAGCAGUAUUUCAUUUUUAUAUAUACUUAGCAACCCUUUGCCAGUCUUCCUGUGGGAAUAGGGAAUCCUCAGAGAGACCUUACCAGAGACUUGAGCCUGGAGUAUGACGGUUCAAACCCUGAGCCAGCAGGUAUUGGCUAUGAGACCUCAGGCAAGUGGUUUUAUGUUUCUGACCCUUGGUUUCCUAGUCAAUAAAAUGAAAAUUAUAACAGAAUUUAUGUUAUAG